rnacentral:lncRNA from 1 species
UGAGUUUUGUUUUGUUUUUUUUUAAUGGAAGAAUCAGACAUCUGUUUUUCAGUCAUUUCUGUCAAGUGUUAGGUUGAAAACAUAUAGGUAUAUGAAAAGAAGACACACCAACUACAACUUGGACAGUAGCAUUGGCUUGGGUCUUUUCAGUGGUGAGUUUUACCUUCUUAAAUCAAAUGCUAUAUUUAUAAUUAGAAACAUUGUUUCUUUUAAGACCCACCCUCAUCAAACUGGUAAGUAGAAAUACUAGGCUGGGUUGAGAUGGUGGACUACAGCUAAAUCAUUUGUGCCUAUGGUUAUGAACAGAGAAGGCAGCUUGGAAGCAUUGAGCCAAGUUCAAUUUGGUCCAUUUUAAGUUGAAGGUAGAGAAUGUGGCAGAGAUGCUGCCUACUGUUUGUCAGAGGUAAGAUUGCAUUUACACUGAGCAGUACAUCUUGAAAUUUCUUAAUUUGACAGUUUCAGUCUCACAUCUGAAUAUUGUUUUUGAAGAUGAAGAUUUGGAGAAACUAAAACUAAUAAGACAUAGUCCUUGCUCUUGAUAAGUAUGUCCUUUUAAAUACAUGUCCUUUUUGGAAACUUUCAGUCAUUUCAAAUAUAGAGGCUAAUAUAAUGAACCCCCAUUGCCCAACUUCAACCAGUUGUCAACUCAUGCCAAUCUUAUUUUGUCAAAUUCAGAGCUAUGGAAUUUUACCUAACUUUAUCAAUCUGAAUGUCUUUAUCUCCUUUCUCCCUAAAAAUGCUGUUCCUCAGGGACACAAUGUAAUAACUCCAUUACCAAUACUAUCGAGAAGGUACUUCUUUAUAUGCUAAAGUUUUAUUAAAUAAACUCUUAAUUCAGAGGAUUUUUUUCAUACAUGUUCAUAUAUGAUCUCUACAUCAACCUUUCAAGGAAGGAUGUUUUUGUUUUCAUUUCAUGAAUGAAGAAACUUAUUCUUUGGGAGAAAUUUGACUUGUCCAGCCUCAUAUAAUUAAGUUCUCUCUAAGUUAUCUUUUUAAUUUUUUAAAUUUAUUUUAUUUUAUUUUUUUUAGUUGUAGAUGAACAAAAUACCUUUAUUUUAUUUAUUUUUUAUGUGGUGCUGAGGAUCAAGCCCAGUGCCUCACAUGUGCUAGGCAAGCGCUUGACCACUGAGCCACAACCCCUGCCCCUCUAAGUUGUCUUAUAUGUGUAGAAAUCUUUACUCAAGACAUUCUUCAUUUUGCCCUUUACAAUUGUGUAAUAAAAUCUGAGAAAGCUACAGAUAGCUAAGAGAAACUGAAGUUGAUAAGAAUGGCAAAUAGGUUUUAUCUUGGGAGCUAAACCAAUAGAUCAUUUGUAGCUGUUAGGCCUUGGUGUUAAGAAACUUGUAAGCGUGUUCCUAACUUAUUGGGAAAGUAUGUCCUUACUGAUAGUAACCCGACAUGGGUAUGGGCAACCCAUGUGUGGCAUGUAUGAGGCAGUUGGGCUAAGUAAACCUGCUAAAGACCUUUAGCUUUAUAUAAUACCUGGUGGUGCUCUUUGAAAAUUUCUGCUUUUUCUACCAUAAAUUUAGCUAAUUUCUCAGUAGGGUAUGGGAUUCCUUGUAUCAGUUCAGGAUUGAGUUUAACAACAUGCAAUCGAGUGACUUUAAUAAAUGUGAAUUUACUUUUCUGUCAUGAAUUGAGAAGAUAAGAGUUAGCCAGUCAAGAACUGACAAGGCAUCUCCAAGAUGACAUUAGGAACCCAGGUUUCUCUAUCCUACUUAGCCAUCCUUAGAGUAUGUUUUUGAUUGAAACAUAACUCCUAAGACUUCAGUCAAGGAGGGGCAAAAUGUGACAUGCUAGAAAAUUUCUUUAAAGACCUUUCUUGUAAACUCUGCCCUGUGAGUUCUGUUUAAACUAUAUAGUGCAUGACCAUCUCAUCUGUAGCAAAGCCUUCUGAUAAGUGUUUCCUAAGUACAUCAGUGCCCAACAACAUUGGACUUAUGAUAGGAAGAAAAGGAGAAUGGGAUAAUCCAGUCAACUAAGUAUUUGCCAUGGUCUUCCCCUUCAGCUACCUAAUGUCCUUCUUUUUUCUAAAGUGAGAACGUACCCACCUUCUUCUCAAUGGCAGCACCUCCAGAGUCUCAUCUAGUUUGUAUAUUCAGUUGAAAGCCAGGUCUUUUGAGUAAUUUUAGGUCUUCCAUGAGGUCUGGAUGUGGCAUGUUGUGGUCAGGUCCCAUAAAUUCAAUUUGUAAAUACUCCCUCCUCUAGAAUUACAUCGGUAGACAAGAGAAGAGGAUAAUUU